AGGGAUUCCCUUUAGUAACGGCGAGUGAAGCGGGAAUAGCUCAAAUUUGAAAUCUGGCUCUUUCAGAGUCCGAGUUGUAAUUUGCAGAGGGCGCUUUGGCUUUGGCAGCGGUCCAAGUUCCUUGGAACAGGACGUCACAGAGGGUGAGAAUCCCGUACGUGGUCGCUAGCUAUUGCCGUGUAAAGCCCCUUCGACGAGUCGAGUUGUUUGGGAAUGCAGCUCUAAAUGGGAGGUAAAUUUCUUCUAAAGCUAAAUAUUGGCCAGAGACCGAUAGCGCACAAGUAGAGUGAUCGAAAGAUGAAAAGCACUUUGGAAAGAGAGUCAAACAGCACGUGAAAUUGUUGAAAGGGAAGCGCUUGCAGCCAGACUUGCUUGCAGUUGCUCAUCCGGGCUUUUGCCCGGUGCACUCUUCUGCAGGCAGGCCAGCAUCAGUUUGGGCGGUGGGAUAAAGGUCUCUGUCACGUACCUUCCUUCGGGUUGGCCAUAUAGGGGAGACGUCAUACCACCAGCCUGGACUGAGGUCCGCGCAUCUGCUAGGAUGCUGGCGUAAUGGCUGUAAGCGGCCCGUCUUGAAACACGGACCAAGGAGUCUAACAUCUAUGCGAGUGUUUGGGUGUCAAGCCCGAGCGCGUAAUGAAAGUGAACGGAGGUGGGAACCCGCAAGGGCGCACCAUCGACCGAUCCUGAAGUUUACGGAAGGAUUUGAGUAAGAGCAUGGCUGUUGGGACCCGAAAGAUGGUGAACUAUGCUUGAAUAGGGUGAAGCCAGAGGAAACUCUGGUGGAGGCUCGCAGCGGUUCUGACGUGCAAAUCGAUCGUCAAAUUUGGGCAUAGGGGCGAAAGACUAAUC
rnacentral:rRNA from 1 species